AAAGUAAAAACUGCUGAUCAGUUGACAUAGAUCAUAGACCAUUUUGCAAGCAAAUAUGCCAGCAAAGACAGAGGUAUAAGGUAUAAAAGGAUCUGCUAACAAAUAAGUUUUAACCAGGGUCUCAGCCUGACUCUGAUAAGAUCUAAAUGCCACUAUAUUCCGUGCAGGAGCUGCCUUUCUACCGAUUGCAGUUGUCAUGUCUUUAGCUCUCUUCUUAAAAACCAUCUAUGUUUAUACAAUGAAGAUCACCUAUACAUGUAAACUGCAAUAUAUACCAGAGCUUCCCCG
rnacentral:misc_RNA from 1 species